rnacentral:misc_RNA from 1 species
AAACGGAAACAAUCCCAGAAAAGCACACACAAAGCAGAAUGAUCAAAACACAAGAACAGGAUCUAAAACGGGCCCCCAUAGGUUAGAUAGGAACGGGUAAAAUAUCUUCAAGAUCCAGCAUUGAUACAAAAGAUUAUCGGGAGGCAAAUUGGCAAUUGAAGGAGGAGUUAUUUGAGCUAGUGAGUGAAAGAGAGAUCAGUGGAGGAAGAG